CUUCUCCGCCGGCGACCGGCGCACGGGUGAGUAACACGUAUGCAACCUGCCCUUGUCAGGGGGACAACCCGCCGAAAGGCGGGCUAAACCCGCGUACAUGCCACCGGGGCAUCCCGGAGGCAGGAAAGGCUUCGGCCGGACAGGGAUGGGCAUGCGGCGCAUUAGGCAGUAGGCGGGGUAACGGCCCACCUAACCGACGAUGCGUAGGGGUUCUGAGAGGAAGGUCCCCCACACUGGUACUGAGACACGGACCAGACUCCUACGGGAGGCAGCAG
rnacentral:rRNA from 1 species